GGAACUUACAAAUUUAACACAUUUAUGGAGUUGAAAAGGCUAUAGUUACUAUAACUAUAUUUAUUGAUUCACCACAAAAGCUCAGUCACUGCAGAUAUAAAGAAAGGAAAGCAUACCAGCAUAUAACAACCGUGCUAUUGAAUUCAAACAUCAUGCUAAUAUCAAACCCGGCAAGUCCAGUUCACUAGAUCUGAUCUAUGGCAGAAAUAUUCAA
rnacentral:misc_RNA from 1 species